AACGUAGGUACCGAGCGUUAUCCGGAUUUACUGGGCGUAAAGCGUGUUCAGGCGGUCUGUCAAGUCGGGCAUGAAAGCUCCCGGCUCAACCGGGAGAGGUUGUCCGAUACUGGCAGACUUGAGGGCAGUAGAGGGUGGUGGAAUUCCGGGUGUAGUGGUGAAAUGCGUAGAUAUCCGGAGGAACACCAGUGGCGAAAGCGGCCACCUGGACUGCACCUGACGCUCAAACACGAAAGCUAGGGGAGCGAAC
rnacentral:rRNA from 1 species